GCCAGCAUGGUGCAGUGGUUUGAGUGUUGGACUGCAACUCUGGAAACCAGGGUUCAAUUCCUCGCUCAGGUA